ACUCAAAUGGAGGACUUUUUUCUUUCCAUUGCAACAAAGAUUGCAGAAUAUGCAGUGUUUCCAAUUUUAGAUCAUGCUCAAUACUUAUGUUGUUUCAACAAGUUUGCUUUGAAACUUCCAAUUGCCAAAGAACAAUUGGAAUUGACUCGAGAUAGUGUGAAGGAGCGAAUUAAAGAAGCCAUCAAUAAGACUGAAAAAGUUGAACCAAGUGUUGAGAAGUGGGUGAAAGAUGUUGAGAAAGUCUUAGAAGAAGUGAAAAUGCUGGAAGAAAGAAUAUCGAGUGUGAGCAAGAGCUAUUUCAGAAGGCAAUGUAAAUAUUCUCUUGUAAAAGAAAUAGAAACAAAAACAACUGAAAUGAUUCAACUCGUUGGUAAUAGCAAGUUUGAACCAUUUUCGAGGAUUACGGAACUUCCAGGCAUGAAGUACUAUUCUUCUGAUGAUUUCUUUAUGUUCAACUCUACAGAAGAAUCUUACAAGCAGCUUAUAGAAGCAUUAAAGAAUAAAAGUGUUUCCAUGAUUGGAUUAGUUGGAUUAGGAGGCUCGGGGAAAACUACUUUGGCAACAGAAGUGGGUAAAAAAGCUGAAGAGAUGAAACUCUUUGAGAAGGUUGUCAUGGCAACAGUGUCUCAACCUCUAAAAAUCAGAAGUAUCCAAGAUCAAAUUGUUGAUCAAUUGGGCUUCAAGUUAAUUGAGGAAUCUGAUAUAGGUAGAGCACAGAGACUAUCAGAGAGAUUAAGAAAAGGUACAACUCUUGUAAUCUUGGAUGAUGUAUGGGAAAAAGUAAACUUCCAAGCUUUAGGUAUUCCACUUGAUGCAAGCAAUAAGACUUGUUGCAUAUUCAUAACUACUCGAACUAGAGAAGUAUGCACUUUUAUGCAAUGCCAAAGUAUAGUUGAACUUAAUCUUCUGAGUGACGAGGAAGCUUGGACUUUGUUCAGAAAUUAUGCAAACAUAACUGAUGACUCCUCAGAAGGUUUGAAAGGUGUGGCAAGAAAAAUUGUUAAUGAAUGUAAGGGAUUGCCCAUUGCAAUUGUGACCGUGGGAAGCACGCUAAAAGACAAAACUAUUGCUAAUUUUGAGUUAGCAUUGUCAAGGCUAGAAAAUUCUAAGCCACUAGAUGUUACAAAAGGCUUUACAAGUCCUUAUGAUUGUCUUGAAUUAAGUUACAAUAAUUUGACAAACCCAUUGGCACAAUCCUUAUUAUUGUUGUGUUCUAUGUUUCCAGAGGAUUGUGAAAUAGAUUUGGAAGAUUUAUUUCGAUUUGGAAGGGGAUUUGAUACAAUUGGGAGAUUUGGAACGAUGGAGAAUGCAAGGAGAGAGAUGGAUGAAGCUAUUGACAUGCUCAAGAAUUGCUUUUUGUUAAUGCAUGUAAAAGAAAAGAAAAGGGUAAAGAUGCAUGAUUUGGUUCGUGAUGUAGCCUUGUGGAUUGCGUCUAAAAGUGGUCAAGCAAUUUUCACACGUACUGAAGUGGAUCCAAAGGAGUUGGCAGAUGAUGAAGUCAUGAAAGAUAUGAAAGCAAUAGUCGUAUGGGGUUUGAAUAGUUACCAUCUUCUCAAUUAUAAAAUAAAUUGUCAAAUACUUGAAAUUCUCUUGCUUUCUUUUAAUGUGAGUGGUGGUGUAAAAGUAUUAGAUGGGUGUCUUCAAAGCUUGGAAAAGCUUAAAACCUUGGCAAUCAUAAAUUUAGCCGAGUGGAAUAAAGGUCCAUUGCCUUUGCAAGAGUCAUUGAAGUCAUUAAAAAAUAUUCGAACACUAUGCUUGAGGGGUCAUGAUUUAGGUGACAUAUCUUUUGUGGAACGACUGCAAGCACUUGAGAUUCUUGACUUGCGUGGCUCUUAUUUUGAUGAUUUGCCUGUUGGGAUGGUAGAAUUAAAGAAGUUGAAGCUUUUGGAUUUGUACAAAUGUGUGAUUAAGAAAAAUAAAAAUGUUGAAGCUUAUGAAGUUGUAAAGAAAUGUUUGCAGCUGGAGGAAUUGUAUUUGUGUUUGAUCGAAUAUGAAAAGGCCUUUCCACAUGAUGUCCCUUUCUCCAGAUUACAAAGGUAUGUUAUAAUGAGCGGUUAUUUUUUUUCUCAUAAGCAUCACUUUUGUCGUGGUGAUCUUAUGAUUAUGAAAAAAUAUGCACAAUCUAGAAGUUUAUUAAUAGAUGGGUUUGAUGUUGGCGCUCAGAAUUUUAUAUCAUCACCAAUCAAGGAUCUCUUUAUAAGAGCAGAGUACCUUAAUUUGAGAAACCUUGAGGGAGAUUAUAAAAAUAUAAUCCCAUCCAUGGAUCCGCAAGGCAUGAAUGAGUUGAUUGCUCUAUCACUCAAAUAUUGUUCAAAGAUAGAAUGUCUGAUUGAUAGCACUAUCAAUAGCAACACCAGUUUUGGUUUGCUUCAAACUGAAGUUGUGUUCUCCACCCUUGUUUACUUAAGUUUGGUAGGCUUAGAUAACCUUCGAGAGGUGUUUUGUGAUCCCUCUUCACGAUGUUCUCUGAAAAAUUUACAAGAGCUCGAGAUAGAAAGAUGUUACAAAUUGAUCAGCGUAUCCUUUCCUAUGAGGUCAAAGCUAUGCAAUCUGAAGGUCCUUACAAUAUCAGAAUGCCCAAUGCUAACUUCUCUCUUCACGCCAUCCGUUGUCCAAACUCUAGAGCUGUUAGAGGUUCUACAAAUUGAUGAAUGCAAUUCAUUGAGACACAUAAUAGAAGAAGAGAAUGAUGUUCUUCCGAGCACUCAAAGUCAUUUUUCUUUGACGCUCCAGAAAUUAAGGACUCUUAAAAUUUCUUCAUGUCACAAUUUGGAGUAUAUAUUCUCUGUGUUUUUAGUGGAAGGGCUAGUAAGUUUGGAAAGAGUGAGGAUUCAAUGGAAUGAAAAAUUGAAGUAUGUAUUUGGCAGUGAAAAGGAGCAUAAUCUUGCAGGGUACCCAAGUUUCCAACACACUAAUAGUGAAAGAAAUUUGCCUAAUUUGAAAUCUAUGGAGUUGAGGAGUUUACCAAAUUUAAUUGACAUUUGGCCUGAAUAUUGUCGUGCACAUCUCCCAAGUCUUAAUGAUUUAUAUUUCAAGGGAUGUCCAAAAUUAUCUAAUUCUUCCAUACAUAAGGUGAUGACUGUUUCAGAUAUCCAGCAACACAAAACUCCAACGGAGAAUGAUAUACUAUGGUUGAUUAGCAACACAUUGAAGCAAUUGGAGGAUGAUCCAUUGUCUAACCCCCAACUCAAAGUUUUCCUCAAAUUUAGAAGCCUAUGGUUGAGUGAUCUUAGAAUAAAAGGUAUCUUCAAAUUCCAAAUGGGAGAAGAAGGGGGCACUACACAACCGCUUCCCCUAAACUUGGAUAUGACUUGGCUAAAAUUGUUGAAUCUAGCUGAGCUCAACUUCAUAUGGAAAGGCCCCACAGCUUUUCUAAGCUUCCAAAACCUUCGGUAUAUUACGGUGAAAGAAUGUCCAAAAUUGAUAACCAUCUUCUCCUCCACCGUUGUUACAAGUUUACCACAGCUAACAUAUCUGGAUAUAAGUACCUGUGAUGAAUUGGAACAAAUAUUUGAUUUAGGUGAUGGGCAACAACUCAAAACCCUAUCUUCUACCCAACAACUCUGCUUCCCAACACUCUCUUCCAUUACACUUGAACACUGCCAUAAGUUGAAAUACAUUUUUUAUAAUCUCUCAGUUAGCCAUUUUACCAGUGUGAAAAAACUGGUAAUAAAAAAUUGUUCUCAGUUACACAAGGCUUUUGGUUUUGAACACGAAGCUGAUGAUGAUGGUUUGGAAGAGAUGGGUAAGGAUGGAAAACAACUACUAUUACACAACUUGAAAGAUAUAACACUCUUGUUUUUGCCAAACUUCCAAGAGAUUCACCACGGAUUUAAGUUAAAAGAAGAUGUUAAACAAAUCAUAGCCGAAUGUCCCAAGUAUUCUCCAAGUUUAUAUCUACAUCCAGAUAUGUAAAUAGAUGCUACAAUUAAGCACGAAAAAAACAAAUUGGCUACAUACAAGCUGGUCUUGAUUUUAAAAAGGAAGUAAUAGUUAGUUAUAUGGAAAAUGUAUCACUCAACUCAUCUCCAUGCGCUGCAAUAAAUUGGUCAGGUGACACUUGAGACCAUGUGUUGAUGCAUUUUACAGUGUGAUGUGUUGCCGAUAAAGUUAAACGGGGUGCUAAAUUCUCCACUACUCAGCCCUACUUUUCUAGCUAUCUAAAUAAAUCAAUUGAUCUUUCAUGUAACAUGUGUGACUCGUGUGACGCUGUUUAGUUUAGACACGUAAUUCUCCAUCAAGUUAUUAAACUUACUUUCAUAUUUUCUUUUCCUGUAUAUGUGACUCAUGAUUUUAUAAAUUUUAA